rfam:Corchorus olitorius cultivar O-4 contig15557, whole genome shotgun sequence.
CCUCUGCAAGAUUCUGAAAUUAUUUCUUACUUACUUGCUGGUUUGAGCUCAGAUUAUGAUUCCUUUGUCACUUCUGUUACCACAAGGGUGGAACCAAUGACCUUGAAUGAUUUAUAUGGUCAUUUACUAACAUUUGAGC